CCUACGGGAGGCAGCAGUGGGGAAUAUUGCACAAUGGGGGAAACCCUGAUGCAGCGACGCCGCGUGAGCGAUGAAGUAUUUCGGUAUGUAAAGCUCUAUCAUCAGGGAAGAAGAUGACGGUACCUGACGAAGAAGCCCCGGCUAACUACGUGCCAGCAGCCGCGGUAAUACGGAGGGGGCAAGCGUUAUCCGGAUUUACUGGGUGUAAAGAGAGCGUAGACGGCGAUGCAAGCCAGAUGUGAAAGCCUGUGGCUCAACCAUGGGACUGCAUUUGAAACUGUUUUGCUGGAGUGUCGGAGAGGCAGGCGGAAUUCCUAGUGUAGCGGUGAAAUGCGUAGAUAUUAGGAGGAACACUAGUGGCGAAGGCGGCCUGCUGGAAGAUGACUGACGUUGAGGCUCGAAAGCGUGGGGAGCAAACAGGAUUAGAUACCCGAGUAGUC
rnacentral:rRNA from 1 species